rnacentral:lncRNA from 1 species
ACACUCAUGAAGGCAAAACAGAAAGCAGAGAAGACUGCCAGGAAACGCUGGGGUGAGGGGCUGCUCCCUUAGAUCAGGUGGUCUGGGGAGGCCUCUCUUCACCAGAGAUGCGUGAGUCACAGCAUGAAGGAGAUGAAUUAGCAACGCUUUCCCAGGAGUAAAGAACAUGGACUUCAUUACCUGGCGUUUAGGACAUUUCCCUUGGUGUCUCAGAGGGACCGCAGGUCAGAUGAGCGUGCAGCUGUGGCUCCAUCCCGUGCCUUUGCCUGUUCUGAACUUUCCAUCAACGGAAUUGCAGAUUGGCCGGGCACGGUGGCUCACGCCUGUAAUCCCAGCACUUUGGGAGGCCGAGGCAAGCAGAUCACGAGGUCAGGAGAUCGAGACCAUCCUGGCUAACACAGUGAAACUCCGUCUCUACUAAAAAUGCAAAAAAUUAGCCGGGCGUGGUGGCGGGCGCCUGUAGUCCCAGCUACUGGGGAGGCUGAGGCGGAAGAAUCGCUUGAACCCGGGAGGCGGAUCACUUGCAGUGAGCGGAGAUCGCACCACUACACUCCAGCCUGGGGGACAGCGCGAGACUCUGUCAAAAAAUAAAAAUAAAAAAGGAAUUGCAGAU